UUUUUGUAGAUUUUCAAAUAAAACUCAGAGAUUCCUUGUAUGACUCUCUCAGAUCUCCCUUUUGUGGUAUUUUUGGAUCCUUACCAAGGCAGUGAUGGUAUAUGCCUUCUCUCAAAAUUUGUGGUAUUUGUGGUAUGAAGCACAGUGACAUUUCCUUCUCUCUCAUCCUACUCUAAUAAGGCUUUGAUAUCUGGAGCUCAUAGGUGGGAGAUAAAGUAUACAUACUUACAAGACAUUUAUUGUAUAGUUAAACCAUGGAUCCAGAGAAACAAGUCAAUAAGUCAAAUCAAGAUGUGCAUGUGUGGCGAAUGAAUGGUGU
rnacentral:lncRNA from 1 species